GUCAGAGAAUAGUGCAAUGCAACUUCUAAACAAACCGAUGAAUCUGGUUCACUACUUGUUUACAGAACAACGAGGUACAAACUAUCUCAUUGUUACAUUCUUACACCUACUUUGUAAUUCACAGUGUUCUUUCUGUGGGACUAUUAGUAUUCUGGGAGCUCACGUUGCUGUUUGCCUUGCUGUGCACAGAUUGCUGUCCGGAUUUUGGUACCUGCGUGUCUGGCUUCAUCUCCGUGCACCGGGGGGCUCGGAGCCCGGCGUCCCAGCCAACGGGCUGGAAGGAACAUCAGCCGGGAGGCAGGGGAACAGGCAGCGAGAGCGAACAGGGGUUAUUAAUGGUGACCGCUGGAGCCCGGCAGAAUGACAAAACAGGGGGAAACAAACAGCGUGUGAAAUGCACACCUGUCUGCGGAGUCUCGGAGGGGGCCGUGAAGGAGAAGCGGUGGGCGUCUGCACGACUCCCUCACUGUCGCCGCCGUGUCCGCUGCCUUCAUACGAUAGCGCCGUCGAGAAGAACCUCCCCUCUGACAGAGGAUUCUGUGAGCAGCCCUACGGCUCUGCUGCAGGUACCCGAGGAUGGAAUAGCAGUGGCCAAGCUGGAGUGGCACCUGUCUGUUCCUGCACGCUGGAUUCUCACCGGAUAUUGUACACCUGGGAAUUCACUCUCACCGUCCUCACGCCCGUUCCUGCCGCUCACCGACCCUUGUGUCAUUGAAUAAAUCCGACUUGCACCUGCUUUUCUGGGCGACUGUGGAAAAAUAUAAUUCCGCCCACGAGACGACCUCAAAUUUGCGGACAGUUUUCUUGAUUUCUGACAUCCAUUCUGACACCUCCACGCUGGCAGAAUGGAUUUCUACCAUUUAUCGUCCAUCGAUCCGUCUCCUACUCUCUUUUGAACUGGGGAAAUAACCCGUGGCCCUCUCCUGCAAGAAGGACCCCGGAAUCACAGCGGAGACCCCGCUCGGUUUGCCAAGCGUGGACGGGUCAUUUUCCUCGGAUGGAGUCUGUGCCACAAUCUAAUUUUCAAUUCAUCACAGGACAUAAGUAGAUGGCCUCCGCUGUCUUUCUAAAGAUUUCCCGCUCGCAGUGUGACAAAUUGCCAGCGACCGACUCUGGCAGACUGCAUGAGAGCAACGCACCAUACUUCAUAUCAGAUUCAUUUUAUGCCACUGCGAACGCAUUACAACUACGGCCUGUGAACAUUACAACUACUCCUUCAAAAUCUGCAGCUCUCAACUGCAAAUCAUCUCGUAACAGAGUUUGCCAGUUUCAAGAAAUAAAAGGAAAACAUCUUUGAACUGCACGCGUAAUGUGGUAUGUGUAAAACCUGUGCCUCCAGUACAUAAAAACAAAUCAUCCCAAAACUGAGCUUGGGG
ensembl:lncRNA